rnacentral:rRNA from 1 species
UACGUAGGGACCGAGCGUUGUCCGGAAUCAUUGGGCGUAAAGAGCGUGUAGGCGGCCACUUAAGUCCUGCGUGAAAUCUUGCGGCUCAACCGCAAGCGGUCGUGGGAAACUGGGUGGCUAGAGUGCGGGAGAGGGAUGCGGAAUUCCAGGUGUAGCGGUGAAAUGCGUAGAUAUCUGGAGGAACACCGGUGGCGAAGGCGGCAUCCUGGACCAAUAUUGACGCUGAGGAGCGAAAGCCAGGGGAGCAAACGGG